rnacentral:rRNA from 1 species
GGGUUGUGAGGUUAAGCGACUAAGCGUACACGGUGGAUGCCCUGGCAGUCAGAGGCGAUGAAGGGCGUGCUAAUCUGCGAUAAGCGCCGGUAAGGUGAUAUGAACCGUUAUAACCGGCGAUACCCGAAUGGGGAAACCCAGUGUGACUCGUCACACUAUCAUUAACUGAAUCCAUAGGUUAAUGAGGCGAACCGGGGGAACUGAAACAUCUAAGUACCCCGAGGAAAAGAAAUCAACCGAGAUUCCCCCAGUAGCGGCGAGCGAACGGGGAGGAGCCCAGAGCCUGAAUCAGCAUGUGUGUUAGUGGAAGCGUCUGGAAAGGCGCGCGAUACAGGGUGACAGCCCCGUACACAAAAGCGCAUGUGCUGUGAGCUCGAUGAGUAGGGCGGGACACGUGGUAUCCUGUCUGAAUAUGGGGGGACCAUCCUCCAAGGCUAAAUACUCCUGACUGACCGAUAGUGAACCAGUACCGUGAGGGAAAGGCGAAAAGAACCCCGGCGAGGGGAGUGAAAAAGAACCUGAAACCGUGUACGUACAAGCAGUGGGAGCCCCACCACCAAAGCAUUCUCUGGUGUUGAAGGCCCUGCAAAGCAGCAUCGCGGUGGCGGAGCGUCGUUUGCGACGCCCAACACACAAAACAAGCGGUGAGUGCUUUGGGGUGGGGUGACUGCGUACCUUUUGUAUAAUGGGUCAGCGACUUAUAUUCUGUAGCAAGGUUAACCGUAUAGGGGAGCCGUAGGGAAACCGAGUCUUAAC